GGAAUUGAUAACUCUUCUUUCCUCUCUAUAGAACACAGGUAAAUAAGCUUCCUGGGCAGGUAGAGAUGCUUCUGUGACCCGGUUUUCUUUCGCUUUCCCCACCCACCAAGGGAGAAGCGGAAGGGAGUCUUGCCGGCCGCGGCCUGUUUCAGCCAACCGACGGAACCCUCCACAGGCAGCAGGAUCUCCCUGCCUAUCAUGACGACGUCGGCCGGCAUGCACAGCCUUCUCCUCAAAACAGCCCAUGGCCUCGUGGAAGGGCAAAGUGACUUUUUGAGACCGAUUGCCAACAGCAAAAUGGCAGAGUGGGGGCAGCCAGAUGAGAAGCAGGGUCUGUUUUAAGGCUCUUGAGUUUGCAGAACUAGGACAGGUGAGAAGAGCCAGGAGGAAAAAAGACCUAACUCCUUCCGUAGCAGAGAAGUUAGCCCUGUUACUGAGAAAUGAAGGAGAAAUUUUGGCUCUCAGGUCCACACACACGCACGCGUGUACUGUAGGAGCAGACAAGAGUUGAAACCGGUUUAUUUGCCUUUCUUCUGAUUCAGCCCUUCAGUUAGCAGAGUUUGAACAAGACAGAGGGAUGGCCACUGUUUGUAUUGGCCCAGACUUAAGGGGAGAAUCAGUAUUGUAAAGGCCUUAGAGCAUCGAAGGAGAAGUUUGACAUUGCCAAAACUGUUUGGUGCUAUGCUUCAGUAGACAGUUACCUACAGGGCAUCUCCUGCUCAGGUUUUCCACCAGCAGUGAGUGAUUGAGCCGUGCUUCAACACACUCUGCAACCGGCAGAUAUAUCAUCCCUGCUGGAUUUCUUAAUUUGCCCAGAGAAGCAGUUCAGAAGUAUAUGGACACAUAAAGAAGAGAGGUAGAGGGCACCUGGCAAAUGCACAACAGCCAAAGGAAUGGAGGAUAAGCUUUUUUUUUUUUUUUUUUUAAACAGAAAUCCAGACCACUUGUGAAGGUCGUCUUAAAUAAAUAAUCAUAGGGUUUUUGCAGUGCUUGGUCUGCAGCACUGGCUAGGUUCUGCAUAAUGCAAUCAGAAAGUAAAGGGGCUGCCCGUUUUUUUAACCUGGGUUUUUGUUUUGUUUUUUUGUCAGCAGGUAUGUUUUUCCAGUAUUUAUUAUCUUGUGAAUUCAGAGUUAAACUCUGCAAAGAACAUCUUUGCAGAAUGAGAGCCACGCACUACCCAGGGUUUAAGUUUGCUUUGAAGUACCUUGUAUUUAGGAAGACUCAUCUCUUAAGGACUAGCGCAGAGGCCUCCAAACUUGGCAACUUUAAGCUAGGCUGGCUGGAGAAUUCUGGCCAUUGAAGUCCACAAGUCUUAAAGUUGCCAAGUUUGGAGACCUUUGAACUAGAGUCAUCAGUUACGAAUGUGAUGACAAAUAACGCCAGCUCUUUCAAUGUUCAGUUAUUUCUUUUACACGGGGAGGGUCCCAGCACCAUUGUACAGUUGCCCGGGUUCGUGCCUUCCAGAGGUGUUAGACUGCAAAAUCCAUCAUUCCCAGCCAAUAUGUGUAUUUGCUUUGGUCAGAUAUGCUGAGGGGGUUGUAGACCAGGAUAUCUUGUUCACCUCCUACAGUAAGGAGAUGUCAAAAGGGUAUGUGACAAUACCCUCCAAAAUUUUUAAAUCUCCAAAUUUUUCUACACACACAUUCACGCAACUAUGCUUUUGCAAAGCUUUAAUGGACUUUUUAAUUGUACUUGACAAAAAUCUGACAUUAAAGAACUCUUGCAAGUGCCCGACACAGGGACAAAGCUCAUUUGCACAGAUCUUAAUCCUCCCCUAAUGAAUUCUCGGUCAAUUAGUCCAAGGCAUAGGAAAUGCAUGCAUUUCUCUUUUCUUCAGGUGGAUAAAUCCAUUAUACUGUAGUUGUGAUACAACACGUGUGUUUCUUUAUUUUCUACUGCACAGACCAACUGUACAGCCACUCCGGAGUAUUGUAAUUUAGCAUGCAGUAUCUACUUUCCACAUUUACACUAUAUACUGCAUAUAUUCUUUUCCCUGAAAGUUAAAAAGAAAGAGGAAGGGGGAAAAAAGACUUUGAUUCCUUGAGUUGAUUUAAGA